UGAUCAUCACUUGUUAACACUUUUAUGCAAAUUUUUGUUUACCAAAGUUGUUUUAUUGAUAAUGAUUGGAUGUUGAAUUUUUAUCUUUUGAAUGUAUGCAUUUUUUCAUGUGCUGUUAAAUAGAUGAUAUUUUUUUGUCUUUUUCUUGUUAAAUGAGAAUCUUAUUUCAAUGGAAAAAAAACCUACAUUUUUAUAUAGAAAAUAUAUUGGCAAAAAGC
rnacentral:sRNA from 1 species